AGAGGUCGAGUGAUGAAUAGUAUCACGGUUCAGAUGAUAAUUUCAAUGAUUAUUACUCUGCAUAUUCGUUGCUCCUAUCUGACGACUAUC